rnacentral:lncRNA from 1 species
UUUGUGUUUGUGAUGUUUUAUCUCUUGUGUUUCAUGCCUUACAUUCAUACUUAAUUGUGUAAUAUCUCUAGCUUUGUUUCCUAUUGAUUUAUAAGUGAUUGUUUAGAACUUGCUUAGCUUCCACUCCAUUCUUACCAUUCACAUAGAUUAAAAUUGAUCAUACAACUAUAAGUUAAUUUUAGAUCAAUUGCACCCUAAA